rnacentral:rRNA from 1 species
UGGGGAAUAUUGCACAAUGGGCGAAAGCCUGAUGCAGCAACGCCGCGUGAGUGAUGAAGGCCUUCGGGUUGUAAAGCUCUGUCUUCUGGGACGAUAAUGACGGUACCAGAGGAGGAAGCCACGGCUAACUACGUGCCAGCAGCCGCGGUAAUACGUAGGUGGCAAGCGUUGUCCGGAUUUACUGGGCGUACAGGAUGCGUAGGCGGAUACUUAAGUCAGAUGUGAAAAUCCCGGGCUUAACUUGGGAACUGCAUUUGAAACUGGGUAUCUAGAGUGCGGGAGAGGAAAGUGGAAUUCCUAGUGUAGCGGUGAAAUGCGUAGAGAUUAGGAAGAACACCAGUGGCGAAGGCGACUUUCUGGACUGUAACUGACGCUGAGGCGCGAAAGCGUGGGGAGCAAACA